ACAACAUCUCAGUGGUUAGGAUUCCACCCUUCCACUCUCCUGAGUUAGGUGGAGGUUCGUGUUCGAUUCACGGCGGUUGCA